AACGAGCAAGCUUAAGCCGAUAGGCGAAGGCGCAGCGAAAGCGAGUCUGAAUAGGGCGUCAAGUUCGUUGUAUUAGACCCGAAACCUAGUGAUCUAGCCAUGAGCAGGUUGAAGGUGAGGUAACACUCACUGGAGGACCGAACGGGUGCCUGUUGAAAAAGGCUCCGAUGACUUGUGGUUAGGGGUGAAAGGCCAAUCAAACUGGGAAAUAGCUGGUUCUCCGCGAAAGAUAUUUAGGUAUCGCCUCGGAUGAAUGCCUCAGGGGGUAGAGCACUGGAUGGGCUAGGGGGACUUACCGUCUUACCAAACCCAACCAAACUCCGAAUACCUGAGAGCAAUAUCCGGGAGUCACACGGCGGGUGCUAACGUCCGUCGUGGAGAGGGAAACAACCCGGACCUACAGCUAAGGCCCCUAAUUCGUGGCUAAGUGGGAAAGGAU
rnacentral:rRNA from 1 species